rnacentral:rRNA from 1 species
CCUACGGGAGGCAGCAGUGAGGAAUAUUGGUCAAUGGACGAGAGUCUGAACCAGCCAAGUAGCGUGAAGGAUGACUGCCCUAUGGGUUGUAAACUUCUUUUAUAUGGGAAUAAAAUGUUCCACGUGUGGGAUUUUGUAUGUACCAUAUGAAUAAGGAUCGGCUAACUCCGUGCCAGCAGCCGCGGUAAUACGGAGGAUCCGAGCGUUAUCCGGAUUUAUUGGGUUUAAAGGGAGCGUAGGUGGAUUGUUAAGUCAGUUGUGAAAUUUUGCGGCUCAACCGUGAGAUUGCAGUUGAUACUGGCAGUCUUGAGUACAGUAGCGGUAGGCGGAAUGCGUGGUGUAGCGGUGAAAUGCUUAGAUAUCACGAAGAACUCCGAUUGCGAAGGCAGCUCACUGGACUGCAACUGACACUGAGGCUCGAAAGUGUGGGUAUCAAACAGGAUUAGAUACCCCUGUAGUC